GAAUGCCACUAGAUAUGGAUGGACUUAUGAUGGGUGUAAGGAAUGUACCAAAGUUGUCAAGAUGGAUGAUGGACAGUUGAAAUGUAAAAAUGCUCAUGUUAAUCAGAAGCCUGUUCCGAGGUACAAAGUUGAGGUUCAGGUUGAACAUAAGGGAAGUAAGGCAAGAUUUCUGUUCUGGGACGAGCUAACCGUGUCCAUUUUAGGAAUAUCUGCUACAGACUUGAGGGAGCAGAUGAUUCAGGCUGGCCAUACCAAUCCAAAGACCUACCCUAAGCUCCUUGACAAAC